rnacentral:tRNA from 1 species
GGGCCCGUAGCUCAGCCUGGUAGAGCACCGCCCUUUUAAGGCGGGUGUCGAUGGUUCGAAUCCAUCCGGGCUCA